rnacentral:rRNA from 1 species
GAUGAACGCUGGCGGCGUGCUUAACACAUGCAAGUCGAACGAAGCAUUUGCGACAGAUUUUUUCGGAAUGAAGUUGCUUAUGACUGAGUGGCGGACGGGUGAGUAACGCGUGGGUAACCUGCCUUGUACUGGGGGAUAGCAGCUGGAAACGGCUGGUAAUACCGCAUAAGCGCACAAUGUUGCAUGACAUGGUGUGAAAAACUCCGGUGGUAUAAGAUGGACCUGCGUCUGAUUAGCUAGUUGGUGAGAUAACAGCCCACCAAGGCGACGAUCAGUAGCCGACCUGAGAGGGUGACCGGCCACAUUGGGACUGAGACACGGCCCAGACUCCUACGGGAGGCAGCAGUGGGGAAUAUUGCACAAUGGAGGAAACUCUGAUGCAGCGACGCCGCGUGAGUGAAGAAGUAAUUCGUUAUGUAAAGCUCUAUCAGCAGGGAAGAUAGUGACGGUACCUGACUAAGAAGCUCCGGCUAAAUACGUG